CACAGCUAUUCGCUCAAUCUUUUCCAUCUCUUCUUUCUCUCAAACAUGAAACAACGGGAGCCAGGGAGGCAACCGUAACCCAGGCCAGGAACGCCGGCGACGAAGGCUAUCACGGGAGACCGAAGAAGACGACCAGUUGUGAGGAUCCCUAAUGUGGAGCUCCAAGGAAGCGGUACAUGAAUCGCCGUUCAUUCAGAACAAAAAAAAUCUUCGUUCAAGUGUAACUGAAAGUUGCAUUUUUAGGACUCCAGGAGCAAACUGAUUGAUGACGGUCGCCGCCGACUUCUGCUACCAAAAAUCCCAAGGUUUUGUUUAUUGAAUCUUCUUGAACGAUCAAUUAACCUACCUUGCGCACAGAGGUACAUGUAACUCGGCUUCUGGUCCUAGCCAAAUCAGUCCUACUGUGCGGCACAGGUAACAACACACGUACAGCUGCAGCCAAAGGAGUUAUGUGAUAUGUGGAGUACGUGCAGAUGGAGGCAAUAGUGGGAGAUGGAGCAAAAUAAGAUUAGAAACCAUGUUCCAGUGUGUCACUAUAUUGAUUCGGCAUUUGGACCCCAUUGAAUGUUGGUGUGAUGUAGUUGCAAACAAUGAUUAUCACAGCCUCAUAGUUUCUUCAGCUCGGAGCAUUACCUUGGAUGAGCCCUUGAUUUAUUUGGGAAAAGAAAGUGGAUGCACCAUCCGGGAAAAAAGGCACUAGAAAAAACAGAAAGAGAACUCGUGAAAAAAAGGGAAAGAAAGCUGCGGGCUAUACAUCCUCCUGUGGCUGCCAUGUCCAAUCUAUAUGCGCCUGCCAUGUCUGAUCUGUAUGCCCUUGACAUGUCCUCCCUUCUUCAUGAGUUUGAUCUGCCUGUCCUCCUUCUCCAUGAGUUUGAUCUGCCUUGACCUAUUCACUAAUCUGCAAAUAGGAGUAAUCUACAAAAAGUUGACCUAUCUGCCGCCAAAAAUCAUCAAGUACCAUGGUUCCGAACGAUGUUGUGUAUGGGCUUCAGUUGUCCGUACACACCGGGUAAGAAAAUCGCUUCAUGCAUCGCGACUGAAAAAAAGCUCUAGGUAUUGGUAACUACUAAUGUCUUCUGAUUCCUCUAUCUAUAAUACUAAUUGUCUCCAGAUUUAUUUAAUCAUUGGAUUAAUCCUUUGCUUUCUUACACAUUGCCCAUGCAGGGGAGACCAAUCAAUCAACUAAAUAGAAGAGUUGUGCUCAUAAUGGCUUGCAUGCAACCAUAAUAUGCAUACAUGAGGUGCCGACAGAGUAAGAUCGGUGUUCGUAGAUUACUGGACAUGUAAGGUAGACAAGCGUGCUCUCUGGCUAUGUCUUAAUCCAACUAUUUCGUCAUAUUAGUUCAUUGUAAGUAUUCAUAUUAGUAGAUGCCUUCCAAAAAUGCUUUUCUUGGAUCAUUUCCUUUCCUCAGUAGUAGUAUGUCAUUUGGUAUUUUCUUUUCAAUUCCACGCUUUCUGAUGAUGUAUUUCUUCCAUCGCCAGCAGAAUCCACACUGGAAAGCUACCAGACUUGAUGGAUCAAUCGAAUCAAUCGACUACUUGCAUCUAGCAACAUGAUACUCACACUGAUCGGUUUUAGUUGCGCCUGUUUCCAUGUUUUCCACUACAUGAAUGAGCAGUCCAAGCGCUGGCAACAUGCCUCCGCCGUUUCACCUAAUAGGGCAUCAUGUGCCCAUACAAAGUAGAAACUAACGUCACAAGAGGUAGUUUUUAUCUUGAUGGUGGGUAAUUGUUUCGUCGCUACUCCCACAAAUCCUCUUGGUAACUAUGCAAUCCUUCUCAGAAGUCCUUCGCCAUCACACGAGAGCAAAAAAGUUGGUUGCCGGACAUGUGGUUUUAUAAGCCGCAGCCGCCGGGGAAGGCCAAUGACGAUGUACGCCUACAAGCAAAUACAUAGUCAAGAAAUUUUUAAGGAGAAGACCAAUGUUGAUGCGCCAGGGCAAGAAGUACAGAUAGUCUAGGUUACCUUUUUCUUUGGAGAAAUUGAGUUGAUUAUGACCUUCUACUUGUAGCUCAUUUCUUUAUAAAAUUUACCUAUGGAUCAAGCAGAGUAAGAGACCACACACACUGAUCCGUGAUCAAUAUUUCAAUUUAUGACCCUGAAUUGUGCAAUAUAGUAUUAGUCUCUACCAAUGUAUCUAGAUAUUAUUAUUUUUUGCUUCUGAAGCAUGUGCUUCUAUGGUCCUUUCUGUGGCAUUAAAUUGAUGUCAGUACAUUCAUAUAAUCCUUUCGUAAAUAUACAAAACACACCAUUAACUAUAAAGACAAAGAUGGGGUCCUGAUAUUUUUAAAAUAUGGUAGAUAGACUCUCCGAGACCGUUUGAAUUGGUGAUUUUUUGUAAAAAAAAUUGAAGGACUACAAUUAUAGUAUAGUGGUGCUUUAAAAUUCAUAUACACCUAACAGAAAUUCUCUUUUGUGUUUCACAAUUCUUUCUUCAACAUUUAUUUAUUCAUUUUUUUCAUGGAAUUUAGCAUGCCACAAAAU